rnacentral:lncRNA from 1 species
AUGUUGAAGAUUAUUGCAGCUAUGAGUAAAGAUAUUUCAAAUAUUUUUCAAGAGGAUGAGUAUAAAUUAUUUACGUUGAAAGUAUAGUGAAUUUGCUACAAUGAUUGAAGUUAUUAUGAGAAAAUGUUCAAGUUCAGUAUUCAAGUUAUUAUGUUGAAGAUUAUUGCAACUAUGAAUUGUCAAAUUUCGAGGACGAAAUUCUUUUAAGUGGGUAGGUUUGUCACAGCCCAAAACCAUUUACUACCUUUGCAAAUUUUAUUUGAAAAUUUAUUGUAUUUUCGAGAUAUUAAAAAUAUAAAUCUAUGAGUCGAGUUUGUGAUGAAUUAUCUAGUCGCGCCCCUAGCUAGAUGUAUGACUCUAAAUUCUAGGUUAUACCUAUAGAAAUAAAGUUUUAUAUUCCAAAAAUAUUUUUAUAUAAAUUUGGGCCUAAAUAAAUUUAUUUACUUAAAUAUAUUUAUCAUGGACAUUAUAUUAAUUUUGGAUUAAGAAUAAAAUAUUUUCAUAAAUUUUAUUAGUGUUGGACUUAUUAUUAUUAAUGGGCAAAAUUCUUUUGCAAUAAUCUUAAAACAAUUAUUCAAGUUUCAACAUUUAUAGUUAAUUAAUGAUUUCAAGGAUUUGGAUACCUUAUUUUCGUAUCUGCAAAUUAACAAUUUCUACUCUAUUUAUUUACAUUUGUUUAAAGAAGUCUCCAAGCCAGCCAUUCCUAUUUUCAUUCUUAUCAGAUAUCUAACCGCCCUAAUUAGAUAAAUGACUUUGAACUAUAGAUUAUAUUUAUAAAAGAUACAAAUUUAUAUUAUCAAAUAUUUUUAAUAAAUAUGUUGGGCCAUAGUUUUAUUCUUUUCUAUGAUAAUUGGGUUAAAAUUUUAUUAUUUGAAAGCACAUUUAUCAUCUUUAAAGCCCAAUUAUUAUUAUAAGUCCAUAUGUCUUUCUUUAAUUAAAAUGAGAUGUUACGUGGUUCAGUUUUUCCUUAGCCACAUAUUCUGAUUUAAUCACCUUCAGCCACCUAAUUUUAUUCAGCCGCGUAUCACUCACUGCCAUCACAUUUAAAAUUCACCCAAAUAACUUGCUAGGUUUCAUUUCAUCAAAAUUUUCCAGAGCACAAAUUUCAUUCAAGUUAACAGACUUCUCAUUUCUGAUAUUUCCUUCACAAAACUUCAGCUGGUAAUUUUAUUGUUUCGGUGAGAUUUCAUGUUUUAAUUCAUCACAGCAAAUUACUACGUUUUUCUUUCAUUCUCAUUUAUUUAUUUUGUGAAACAACACAAGCCCAUUUAUUUAUCAUACAUUAUAAGCCCAUAUAUAUAUAUAUAUUAUUAAUGUGUAAAUAAAUUUUUAUGAAAAUGACUUCAGCUACAUAUCCACAUUUACUCAGCUUCAGCCAUAUAUCACUGUAGUACCUUUCCGUCAGAUUUGAUCAAAACUACAGCAAAACUUUGAUUUCAAAACUUUGAUUUCAAACAUCAGCAUGCCAAACUUGAAUUAAAUUUCCUUUCCGUAAGAUUUGAUUUUCUUCCACAAGCAGCAAAUUUUUGAUUUCUUUCACAUUCAAAUGAACGAGUAUAUUCAAUCUAUUUAAACCUCAAUUCCUCACCCCUAACUCACCUCUUCAUCUGUUCAUUUAACUAAAAUCUGCAGAUUCUUCCUACGAAUUCCAGCUGGUAAAUUUUAAUUAUUUUUGCAAAGUUUCUUUUUCAUUCAUGGUUUCUCAUUUCUGCCAAAAAUCAAAACUUUACAACAGAAUUUUGUUUUCAAAAUCCAAAUAUGCAUACAUCCAUUUUUCUGUAAUUUCCAUGAGGUAAUAAAAUAGAUCAGAGUUAUUAUUAAUUACAAAGAAAAGGAAUAGAAGAAGGAACUGGAAAUGGGUUUAGUGGCCUGGAACAGGGGGUGCGAUUGAACAGCGCCGCCGGCGCUGCGCGCCACGGCGGCUGGCAGGAGGAGACAGGGACGGUGGUGCAGUGGUCUUGGCCGCUGCUAUGCUGGGACAGAGGGAGAAGGCGCUUGGGCUGUGCUGCUGUCAACGCGGGGGCGGCGAUGGUGGUGCUGCUGUCGGCCAGGUGAGAAAAGGAAGGUGAGGGCGACGUCGGGCAGGAAUAGGUGGCGACGAAGGGUCGCCGGAGAAGAGGGGCGCAGCUGCGGCUGGUGCGGCGAGGACAAGGGCAGGGGAGGAGGCGGGAGAUGAGGGAGGGAAGUCGACGGAGAGGGAGAACUGAGGGAAGACAGAGAGAGGUCGAAGGGAAGGAGAGAGGAGGCAGAGCCGCCGGCCUCCGGCGGCGGCGUGCCGUCUGGUGGCGGCGGCAGGAGGCCGAGAAGAGGAGAGGGAGAGAGAGAGAAAGGGAGGCUGGGGGUUGGUGUGUGUGAGCUGCGUGAGAUGAUGUGUGUGGAGGGAGUGUUUAAAUUAGGGUGAAGGGAAAGAAUGGGCUUGGGCCUAGGAUAGUUUGUUUUUUUUUUUUUAAAUGGGCUCAGAUUUAUUAAAUGAUUGGGCUAUAAUUUGAUUAAUUAUUGCACUAAUUUAUUUUAUCAAAAGGCUUGCAUUUGCAUAUUAUUUUACAAAGAAUGUCAUAUUUGGACUUCAUAUUUUAAUUUUCAUUAUUAAGUUGGACUUGAUUUUAUUAAAUUUCAACUCAAAUUUUAAAGAAGCAUGCAUUUUAUUAUUUGAUUCAUUAGACCAACUAUUUCCAAAAUGAUUUUAUGAUAAUAAAUUCUUAAGAUUUAAACUACUAUUAUUAUUAUUAUUAUUAUUAUUUUAAAGUUUAAUUAGGCCCUUACGUUAUAUUAUUUGAAUUUAUCUGACUAGGUGCGGCGCGACUAGGACAUGGUUUUUAAUUUGAAUUAUCAGAAUUAGCUUUCAAGUUGAAGUUCAAGUUCAAGUUUAAAAUUCAGGUGUGGGAUUUAUUUCAGUACAUGCACGUGGUUAAUAUUUGUCCAUUUUAAUAUUAUGUGUUUACCGUAUGUGUUGUAAAAAUAUUUAUCGCUAGGGGCCAGCAUAAUUGGUCCAGGACUUCACCGUCCUUGGUAUGCCACAAUGCGAUUUCAUGUUACAGGGUUGCAACCAUUAUAUUGUCGCCAGGGAUCCAUAUAUAGGGUCCGGGACAUUAAAGUCCUUGGAGUUGCCACAGUGCGUAUGGAAGUUAUGUUACGUUAUGACAAUAUGUGUUACCAUUUUAUUAACAUGGACAAUUAUUGCAUGUUCCCACACUGAGUGUACCCUGUAUGCUCAUCCCAUAUUCAACAGUUUCAGGUGAUUGAUAUCGGAGGCGCGUGGAGAGUCGAAUGGGCGCGUCACAUCUAUUUAAAAAUAAAUGUUUCUUAAAACAUAUUGUGUUAUUUCAUGUGAUAUUUUUGGUUAUGUAAACUCUGAAAUUCUAUAUUAUUUGAGAUUUGUGUGUGAUUUAUUUAAAUAAAUGUUGUUAUAUUAUUUUAAUGUCAUGACUUGUUUAAUCUAUAUUUAAAUUCAUUUCAAAUAUUUAUUUAAGAAUUUAUAUCUUUACGAGUAUAUAUACAUGGAUACAUACAUAAUUUUUAAUUAUAUAAAGAUUUUAUUUUGUUAUAUUUUCCGCUGCUAAAAAGAUAUGAUUUUAUAUUUAGAGUUUUUUUUUUCCUUAGUACAAGUUUUAUUAAUUAGUUAAUUAUUUUUCUGACAUCUUCAUGUCGUGCUUUGAAAAUAAAGUUGUUUAAAUUUAUGAAUUCAAAAUCAAGUUUUAUAUUUGAAUACAUUAUUGAAAAUUUUGAUAUCUUAUAAAUCGUUUUAAAAAUGCUUUAAAAACCAAUUUUAUUUAAAGAUUUCUUUUUCUUAAAAUUAUUUUCGAAAAUAUUUAUUUUAAAAAGUGAGUUUUAAAUUAUUUUAAGACUUCCGCAUUAAAUAUUUAUUUAAAUUUUAUAUUUAACUCCUUAAUUAGAUUAGGGUGUUACAGCAUGGUAUCAGAGCAGGUCUACUUUCCUGUAGACUCUGCAAAAUAUUUUACAUAAAAUUCUUAAAUGUCAUGUGUGAGAAAAUCCAUUCGACCUCUUCGUGCUCCGACUUCAAGGUAAAUGUAUUUUAAAAGUAUUUUAAAAUAUUUUUAUAGGGAUGAGUAUAAAUUGUUUACAUUGAAAGUAUGUUGAAAUUUGCUGCAAUAAUUGAAGUUAUUAUCAGAAAGUUCAAAUUCAUUAUGCAAGUUAUUAUGAGAAAGUUCAGUAUUCAAAUUAUAUGUUGAAGAUUAUUGCAGCUAUGAGUAAAGAUAUUUCAAAUAUUUUUCAAAAGGAUGAGUAUAAAUUGUUUACGUUGAAGUAAUAUGAAUUAGCUGCAAUAAUGAAGUUGUUAUGAGAAAUUCAAGUUCAGUAUCAAGUUAUUAUGUUGAAGAUUAUUGCAGCUAUGAGUAAAGAUAUUUCAAAUAUUUUUCAAGAGGAUGAGUAUAAAUUAUUUACGUUGAAAGUAUAGUGAAUUUGCUGCAAUGAUUGAAGUUAUUAUGAGAAAAUGUUCAAGUUCAGUAUUCAAGUUAUUAUGUUGAAGAUUAUUGCAACUAUGAAUUGUCAAAUUUCGAGGACGAAAUUCUUUUAAGUGGGUAGGUUUGUCACAGCCCAAAACCGUUUACUACCUUUGCAAAUUUUAUUUGAAAAUUUUUAUAUUUUCGAGAUAUUAAAAAUAUAAAUCUAUGAGUCGAGUUUGUGGAGAAUUAUCUAGUCGCGCCCCUAGCUAGAUAUAUGACUCUAAAUUCUAGGUUAUACCUAUAGAAAUAAAGUUUUAUAUUCUAAAAUAUUUUUAUAUAAAUUUGGGCCUAAAUAAAUUUAUUUACUUAAAUAUAUUUAUCAUGGACAUUAUAUUAAUUUUGGAUUAAGAAUAAAAUAUUUUCAUAAAUUUUGUUAGUGUUGGGCUUAUUGUUAUUAAUGUGCCAAAUUCUUUUGCAAUGAUCCUAAAACAAUUAUUCAAGUUUCAACAUUUAUAGUUUAUUAAUGAUUUCAAGGAUUUGGAUACCUUAUUUUCGUAUCUGCAAAUUAACAAUUUCUACUCUAUUUAUUUACAUUUGUUUAAAGAAGUCUCCAAGCCAGCCAUUCCUAUUUUUAUUCUUAUCAGAUAUCUAACCGCCCUAAUUAGAUAAAUGACUUUGAACUAUAGAUUAUAUUUAUAAAAAGAUACAAAUUUAUGUUAUCAAAUAUUUUUAAUAAAUAUGUUGGGCCAUAGUUUUUAUUCUUUUUCUAUGAUAAUUGGGUUAAAAUUUUAUUAUUUGAAAGCCCAUUUAUCAUCUUUAAAGCCCAAUUAUUAUUAUAAGCUCAUAUGUCUUUCUUUAAUUAAAAUGAGAUGUUACGUGGUUCAGUUUUUCCUUAGCCAAAUAUUCUGAUUUAAUCUCCUUCAGCCACCUAAUUUUAUUCAGCCACGUAUCACUCACUGCUAUCCCAUUUAAAUUCACCCAAAUAACCUACUAGGUUUCAUUUCAUCAAAAUUUUCCAGAGCACAAAUUUCAUUCAAGUUAACAGACUUCUCAUUUCUGAUAUUUCCUUCACAAAACUUCAGUUGGUAAUUUUAUUGUUUCUGUGAGAUUUCAUGUUUUAAUU